UUUACAGAGCCACUUUGGCAUGCUGGCCACCUCCAAAAGAAUAUAGGCCCAUGAUGUGCAUGGAGGUGGACAGAAUGCCAAAAUGGCUCUGCAAC
rnacentral:pre_miRNA from 11 species